UGGGGAAUCUUGCGCAAUGCGCGAAAGCGUGACGCAGCAACGCCGCGUGCGGGAAGACGGCCCUCGGGUUGUAAACCGCUUUCAGUUGGGACGAAGCCUGUCUGGUGAAUAGCCAGUGCAGGUGACGGUACCUUCAGAAGAAGCCCCGGCUAACUACGUGCCAGCAGCCGCGGUAAUACGUAGGGGGCAAGCGUUGUCCGGAAUCAUUGGGCGUAAAGCGCGUGUAGGCGGCUUGGUAAGUCUGCUCUGAAAGCCCGGGGCUCAACCCUGGGAGGCGGGUGGAUACUGCUGAGCUCGAGUCCGGAAGAGGCGAGUGGAAUUCCUGGUGUAGCGGUGAAAUGCGCAGAUAUCAGGAGGAACACCAAUGGCGAAGGCAGCUCGCUGGGACGGUACUGACGCUGAGACGCGAAAGCGUGGGGAGCAAACAGGAUUAGAUACCCGCGUAGUCC
rnacentral:rRNA from 1 species